GCUUGGGAUAGCUCAGUUGGUACAGCAUGAGACUCUUAAUAUCUGGGUCGUGGGUUCGAGCCCCACGGUGGGCG